CCGACCCGACCCGAUAGUCUGAAAGAUGUAUAUAGUAUAGGAGCAGAUAUUUUUGGGUCACGGAUUUCAUUUGGCUCUCAUUUUCUGAUUAAUAAAAUUCUCUCUCUUCUAGAGAGUUCUCUCAACUGCUCCUCCUUCUCUCUAGAUUCUCUCACUAGAUUCUUCAUGAUUUUUCAAUUUCUCAAAGUUUACAUGGUAUCAGAGGCAGGCUCAUCCUAAUUAUUGUUACCGAUGUUGGGCCCCCAUUUAUGUUGUCUAUGCUCCAGAGAUCUGGGCGUGAAGGGAGGUGUUGAGUUGUCCCACAUCGGAGGGAUUUGAAGUCCUUGGUCUCCUUAUAUGGCUUGGACAAUCCUCACCUCAUAAGCUAGCUUUUGGGGUUGAGUUAGGCCCAAAGUCCAUUAUUUUCAUGGUAUCAGAGCCUAGACGACGAUACGACUAUGUUUUUCUGCAUCUUGUUAUCUUGGUUGAAGUCUUCUUUGAGAUUUUUGGGGGUGUUUCUGAGACUUUGUGGUCGAUGACGAUUCUGAUCUAAAUCGGAUGCCUUUCUGAGACUUUCAUCGCGAUAUCUGAGUAUAUUUUCUUCACUCGAACAUUCUGGGAGAUUUUCCGAUGAUUUUUGGGUGAUUUUUCGGUGACCUAUCGGCUUCUAGGGUUUCUGGUGGUUUAACCUAGAGUUUUAUGCUAUCCGGUGGAUCGAUCCUCACUCAGUGGAUGUUUAGGGUGACUUUCCGACAUCCCUCACCAUAUUUCCAGUAAGGUUUUCAACGGUUGCACCUAGGGUUUUGUACCUAGGGUUUUCUGUGAUUGAUUGAAGGUCGAUCUUCUCCGGUCGCGAAGAAGGAGGGUAAUUCUGUCCUUAUCUUGAGUAUUGUAUGCUUUGUGUAUGAUUAUUUGGCUCCGUAUGUGAGUAUCUGGUUUCGUUAUAUUUUGCUUGUCGAAACUGUUCCUUUUUUCAAGCUGGUACAUUAAUCAUGACUUCUUAUACGAAUGCUGGUACCUCCUCCUCGGUAGAUUCUACCAGUCCUCUCUUUUUAUACUCCUCUGAUGUCCCUGGGGUCUCUCUUGUCCCCACUCCCUUCUCGGGAAGUGGUUAUGGGGGUUGGAGGAGAAAAAUGUUUGUUGCAUUA
rnacentral:lncRNA from 1 species